AUACGAGGGGUGCAAGCGUUGUUCGGAAUUACUGGGCGUAAAGGGAGCGUAGGCGGAGAUUCAAGCGGAUUGUACAAUCCCGGGGCCCAACCCCGGCUCUGCAGUCCGAACUGGAUCUCUUGGAUAGUUCAGGGGCAGGCGGAAUUCCUGGUGUAGCGGUGGAAUGCGUAGAGAUCAGGAAGAACACCGAUGGCGAAGGCAGCCUGCUGGGGACUUAUCGACGCUGAGGCUCGAAAGUGCGGGUAGCAAACAGGAUUAGAUACCCUGGUAGUCCGCACCGUAAACGAUGCAUACUGGGUGUCCGGGGGUUCCCCCGGGUACCGUAGCCAACGCGUUAAGUAUGCCGCCUGGGGAGUACGUACGCAAGUAUGAAACUCAAAUGAAUUGGCGGGG
rnacentral:rRNA from 1 species